ensembl:snRNA U6 U6 spliceosomal RNA
GUGCUCGCUUCAGCAGCACACAUACUAAAACUGGAAUGAUACAGAGAAGAUUAGCAUGGCCCUCGCGCAAGGAUGACACACAAAUUAGUUACGCGUUCCAUGGGGGG